rnacentral:lncRNA from 1 species
UGUCCCCAAGGAUGAAGCUCUCAAGACCAAAUUGAACGCGUCUUGGUGGAAACCAAGGUCUGCCAGAGCCAUCUUAGCCAGGAUGAAACACGCAACACCUGAAGGACUAAGUCAAGGACACUCUGCUGGGUGAGACAAGGUGUCUGGCUCGAAGGAGCAGGGGGCAUGUGGAACAAGUCACUCAGAGGGUGCUUUGCCUCAACUCUGGGUUUAUGAAGAUUGUGUAGGAAGAGUGUGGUGGAAUGCUCAGAUUUCCUUUUUGCCUUUAAGUUGGUGAGUCAGAAGGAAAAGGUUAGUGGGCAGUUGAUACUGAGUAGACACAGGAACAGCUUCCUCUUGCUCCCGGAGUUGAAUGACUUUGUCCCUGAGAUGUUAGCAUGGUGGACCGUAGAGUCUUUAGGACCCCUAUCCUCCUCUAGGCUGGGACUAGUAUGUUAAAUUGUGGAGGGCACUAGCCUUGGAUGCUGAAUUUAAAGGGUGCCCUCAACCUGGAAAUCAAGAUAAAUAAAAUUUUAAUGAAAUAUUUAAAGAUUAAACAAUUAUGCCAAACAACAAUGAACAAGUUAUCAACAUUUUAAAGAGGGACAGGAUCCCGCCUUGGUCCUAAUCCUGACCCUGACUGUCCACACAGGGAGAUGUUUGAGUGGUUAGGACCCAGUCUAUAAAUAACGGUCAGGCAGCCAGUGGCAACCCUGGGGACAUGGUGCAGGUCUUGCUGCCUGGAACUUU